AGCAGUAGCCACGGUAAUACGGAGGAUCCAAGCGUUAUCCGGAUUUAUUGGGUUUAAAGGGUGCGUAGGUGGCCUGUUGAGUCAGGGGUGAAAGACGGUAGCUCAACUAUCGCAGUGCCCUUGAUACUGAUGGGCUUGAAUGAACUAGAGGUAGGCGGAAUGUGACAAGUAGCGGUGAAAUGCAUAGAUAUGUCACAGAACACCAAUUGCGAAGGCAGCUUACUAUGGUUUUAUUGACACUGAGGCACGAAAGCGUGGGGAUCAAACAGGAUUAGAUACCCGCGUAGUCCCUGUCUCUUAUAC
rnacentral:rRNA from 1 species